CGGUGACAGAUGCCGUAAUGGCUGGCGGCUCUCACUCGCAGGCGUCACGUGUCGUGAUUGGUUUGUUUAAUCGUGUAAAACAUUAAUGAUUCACCGAAUCAAUACGUUGGCGAACAUUUAACCCAUCAAGUUGUAAUUACGCUCCCACACCGUUGUGAUGGUUCCGUUACUUACAGCUUUUUGCAGCCUAUGCGUUUGCAACACCAAAACGAAAUACGUGCAACAGCUUACUGAGCAAAUUUUUGCGUGUGUACACACGCGCACGCAAUGCAUUUAUAUAUAUGCAUUUUAAUUCUCCAACGAUGACAUUUGAAUCGUCACGUCCGUGCUUCUGUAUCUCGCAGGUCGCGUGGGCCUGCGCCGAUCCCCGGCCUCUCUGCGUCGGGUGCCGGAUUCGGGUUGCCGGAGAGCCUCGUUUCAUUCCAAACGCGCUAUUGGCGACAUGUCACGAAGCAGCGCCUCGUGCUCGACAACAGCCCGCGCAAGCAGACAUCACAGAACUACUGCCGCGGCUCAGAUCUCUUGCAGUGGCCUCUCUACUCCAAGGACCGGUUCACAUCAUCGUCACUGGCCGUGAGCGGGAAUCGAACCCGGCUCGCCAGACCCCCGGGAUUUAAAAUCACCACCCGGUCUCGGGGCUGCUGCUGCUGCGAAUCCCCAGAGCUGAGCAGCAACAGCCCCUACUCGAGACUCGACGCACAGCUGCUUGAAGAGCCCCUCUGUCCCGGCGUGAACGGCACCCUCUUUUUUCACCUUCGUCACGUGCUCGGUCGUGGGGCGUGACGUGCGUGACGACCACCACCACCACCACGUGACUUUUUUUUGUGUCCUGCGGCACGUGGCGUUCAUUGUGAUCGGUUACUUUUGUUUGCUGGUGACUUUGUGUUUCGUAUCGACAUCGCCUCCGUUGCUGUUGCUGCUGGCGGCAAUAAAAGUA